GGAGGCUUUGAAGUGUGGACGCCAGUCUGCAUGGAGCCGGCCUUGAAAUACCACCCUUUAAUGUUUGAUGUUCUAACGUGGACCCGUGAUCCGGGUUGCGGACAGUGUCUGGUGGGUAGUUUGACUGGGGCGGUCUCCUCCUAAAGAGUAACGGAGGAGCACGAAGGUUGGCUAAUCCUGGUCGGACAUCAGGAGGUUAGUGCAAUGGCAUAAGCCAGCUUGACUGCGAGCGUGACGGCGCGAGCAGGUGCGAAAGCAGGUCAUAGUGAUCCGGUGGUUCUGAAUGGAAGGGCCAUCGCUCAACGGAUAAAAGGUACUCCGGGGAUAACAGGCUGAUACCGCCCAAGAGUUCAUAUCGACGGCGGUGUUUGGCACCUCGAUGUCGGCUCAUCACAUCCUGGGGCUGAAGUAGGUCCCAAGGGUAUGGCUGUUCGCCAUUUAAAGUGGUACGCGAGCUGGGUUUAGAACGUCGUGAGACAGUUCGGUCCCUAUCUGCCGUGGGCGCUGGAGAACUGAGGGGGGCUGCUCCUAGUACGAGAGGACCGGAGUGGACGCAUCACUGGUGUUCGGGUUGUCAUGCCAAUGGCACUGCCCGGUAGCUAAAUGCGGAAGAGAUAAGUGCUGAAAGCAUCUAAGCACGAAACUUGCCCCGAGAUGAGUUCUCCCUGACCCUUUAAGGGUCCUGAAGGAACGUUGAAGACGACGACGUUGAUAGGCCGGGUGUGUAAGCGCAGCGAUGCGUUGAGCUAACCGGUACUAAUGAACCGUGAGGCUUAACCUUACAACGCCGAAG
rnacentral:rRNA from 1 species